AGCUCCAAUAGCGUAUACUAAAGUUGUUGCAGUUAAAAAGCUCGUAGUUGAAUUUCUGGACUCGUCUGUCUGUCGGCCCCCAGGGGUUUGCACAGUUGGACGGGUCCAUCCUCGAGGGUAACGGGAUACAUUUCGGUGUGUUUCCGGGAACUCGUCAUUUACUGUGAGCAAAACAGAGUGUUCAAAGCAGGCUUACGCCGUUGAAUACAUUAGCAUGGAAUAAUAAGAUAAGACCUUGGUCUAUUUUGUUGGUUUGUACUCCAAGGUAAUGAUUAAUAGGGACAGUUGGGGGUAUUCGUAUUCAAUUGUCAGAGGUGAAAUUCUUGGAUUUAUGGAAGACGAACUACUGCGAAAGCAUUUACCAAGGAUGUUUUCA
rnacentral:rRNA from 1 species